rnacentral:tRNA from 1 species
GCCAUGGCUCAGUAGUAGAGUAUCAGCUUGGUAUGCCGAAGAGUUCCAGUUCAAUCCCCGGUAUCUCCG